GGGCAGGCCCGGCGCGGCGGAGCCUUCCGAACCCCGCCAGGUCCGAGAGGAAGCAACGGUAAGGGAGUGUCUUCGGGUGCCGCCGGUCUCCUGCCCGGC
rnacentral:SRP_RNA from 1 species